UACGUAGGGGGCUAGCGUUGCUCGGAAUCACUGGGCGUAAAGCGCACGUAGGCGGAUUGUUAAGUCAGGGGUGAAAUCCUGGAGCUCAACUCCAGAGCUGCCUUUGAUACUGGCAAUCUCGAGUUCGGGAGAGGUGAGUGGAACUGCGAGUGUAGAGGUGAAAUUCGUAGAUAUUCGCAAGAACACCAGUGGCGAAGGCGGCUCACUGGCCCGGUACUGACGCUGAGGUGCGAAAGCGUGGGGAGCAAACAGG
rnacentral:rRNA from 1 species